UCCUGGUCUAUGUCUGUCCUGCUCUUCUCCAGGGAAACUUUGGCCUUCUGACCUCAGCGUGGCUUUGGCCUUUCUACUCCCUGUGUCUGGCUUCUGGGUGACUGGAGCCCUUUGGUUCUUAGAUUGUUGUCUGGUUUCCCUGCAGAUUAACUUCUCGACUUGGACUGAUGGACUGUGGGCCCAGGUUCCCAACCAAAGGGGCCACCCUGCCCCCACCUGUGUGCCAGACCACUGCCUGGCAAGGGUUUCUUCUACCCCCUUUACCAGAGCCCACACUGGAGGGUUCCCAGACCUUUGGAACCUGCUUGCCAGACAGGCCCUGGAUGCUCUUGGAUUCUAAGGCAGGAGUUGGGCCACUCUUUCUCCAGGACAUCCUGGUCUCUCCUGAGCCAUGUCCCUUCUGAAAUUCAAUCUGGGAUCUUAUGACUGACCCUCCCCACUCCGGACCCAAUAAGGGUCCUCCUGCCUGGUGUUGCUUAAGUUCAGGUCAGAAACAGGAAAGCUUUAUCUGUGAUGAGAUCACUCUAGUGCACACACCCUCCACAAGGUCAGGGUGGUGGUGGGAGGUUCUUCAGCAGAGGUGCAGCUGCCGCUCACACACCAGAUCACAGGGCCCGCGCCAUCUUGAGCUGAGACCUGGUGGGCGGAGCUUCUGCACACGGCCCUGAGCUGACGCAUCAGCAGCCGUUUUGCACCAAGACCCUGGCCUGAGGGUCCGGCGCAAGUCCUCCGCUCGUGGCGCCCUGUGAACUGGCAGAAGUAGGCUCAGCACAGAGAAAACGAGGUGAGGCUCAGCAGGAAGACGAGGACAAGAGCCUCACAGGACACCGGGUCUGCUCCACCUUGAUCCUGGACGUCCAGCCUCCAGAACUGUGAGAAGGACUGUCGAGCUACCUGUCCUUAGUCUGGACAGGAGAGAGGACACCAAGAUGUGGAAUUGGUGGGCAGAGAGAUGUGGGAAGCUGCAGCAUGAGGAGACGGUGAGCGCUGCAGGGUCGAGCUGUCUGCCCAGAAGACCCUGAGAAGCUGUGAUGGGGCCCACUGCACUGAAGAACAUGGAGUGAGGCCCCUCAGAGCCCUUACAGCCGCAGGCAACCCAGAAUGAGGGGCGGGUGGUCAGCAGAGAAGGGGAGCGACAGGAAGAGACGAGCUGGGUGAAGAUGAUGUAGAGCACAGGACAGAUGGGGGAGGGGCUGCCACCAGGGCAGCAGCAAAGGAGCACUGACACAUGAUGACGCAGACAUCUCUGCCUCUGCUGGUGGCAUUCUAGGUGACUCCAGGGAGGCCGCCUCAGUAAAGCACUUAUGCUAACGGAAACCAUGACAACCAGAGACACCUCGUCUGUGAAAACAAGUCAGCCCUGAAACAGCCAAAAUUAAACUACAAGUCCUCUCCUCACCCCAGCCCAGAGCAUGGGAUGGUGGCUGCGGAACCUGGUGCUGCUUUGUGUCUCUGGGUGUUGCAAGAGAGGUAGGUGUGUGUGUUGUGUAUGUAAGAGUGCGGUCUGUUGUGUAUCAGUGUGUGCAGGAUCUGCUGUGUGCAGUUUGUGUGGCUGGGAGCUUUACUGCACCACUGCAGCCUGUUUCCAUGUCACCGAGGCUGAGUGACAUGGGCUUCUGUUAGUUUGUGCCACUUCU